GGUGGGGGUAUCAGUGUGCAAUACCGCUACGCUAUUUUGGAGGACAUACGUGUUCAGUGUUGUUCCGUUGGUGUUGCAGUUGCGACAUUCUAAUUUAUGUGCUUGGCAUUUAGAAGUACCUUGCCCGAGAUUUGUAGAAAUGUGUCCAGAUAGUUCGCUGUAAAUAAGUUAGUUGGUGCGUUAUAGGCCGCUAUUAUGUGUAUGGUUACUGUGUGCCUGACGUAUCGCUUCUCAUAUGAGUGCUGAGGAAAUGAAGAAAGCAAUACGGACUACUUUUCUGCACAAGAUUUUCACGGGUAAAAAUCCCCAGCAUCGAAAUUGUCCUUCUAGAGCAGAUUCGUGGUAUUUGUGACAGCAAGUAAAAAGCGAUUCGUCCUGUUUAGAAAGACCUCAGUUCGGAUGAUCCUUUGAAACGACGUGAAAGAGACUUUACACAAAACAAUAAUGAAAGUGUGAAUUUACUGAUAUGGACAAUUGCCCCGGAGACAAGAUUCUGUGAAAAUAGAGGAGCGACGGCUGAGACACGCG